CUGAUCUGCACUACGGGCUGCCUGACGAGGAACUACAGAAUGUGGGAGCAAGGAUGAGGGACAGUAAAGAGAGAUGUUGCCGAUGGGGUAAGGUGUGAUGCAACCGAGAAUCAGACCCACAAUAUUUUAUAAGAUGGAGCAGUGGAAAUGCGGUUCCUGAAUUCUUGCAGUCGCUGUGAGCUGGUGCAGAGCUAUGAUUUCUUGCUGGAAAUAGGAUGAACUUGGAAGAGGAUUGUUUCUCAAUAAAAUACAUUUUACUGAAAAGAGAUAAAACUGAGAAAUUUGGAGUUGUGCUCGGUUUGGAACAGG